GAUGAACGCUGGCGGCGUGCCUAAUACAUGCAAGUCGAGCGAACAGACGAGGAGCUUGCUCCUCUGACGUUAGCGGCGGACGGGUGAGUAACACGUGGAUAACCUACCUGUAAGACUGGGAUAACUUCGGGAAACCGGAGCUAAUACCGGAUAACAUGUUGAACCGCAUGGUUCAACAGUGAAAGACGGUCUUGCUGUCACUUAUAGAUGGAUCCGCGCCGCAUUAGCUAGUUGGUAAGGUAACGGCUUACCAAGGCAACGAUGCGUAGCCGACCUGAGAGGGUGAUCGGCCACACUGGAACUGAGACACGGUCCAGACUCCUACGGGAGGCAGCAGUAGGGAAUCUUCCGCAAUGGGCGAAAGCCUGACGGAGCAACGCCGCGUGAGUGAUGAAGGUCUUCGGAUCGUAAAACUCUGUUAUUAGGGAAGAACAAAUGUGUAAGUAACUAUGCACGUCUUGACGGUACCUAAUCAGAAAGCCACGGCUAACUACGUG
rnacentral:rRNA from 1 species